GACAGAGGCCCCGAGCGUUUAGGCGGAAUCACUGGGCUUAAAGCGUGUGUAGGCGGGCCCGUAAGUGUCUUGUGAAAUCCCACGGCUCAACCGUGGAACUGCUGGGCAUACUGCGGGUCUUGGGCCAACUAGGGGCAGCCGGAACAAGCGGUGGAGCGGUGAAAUGCGUAGAUAUCGCUUGGAACGCCGAAGGUGAAAACAGGCUGCUGGGGUUGCGCCGACGCUGAGACACGAAAGCCAGGGGAGCAAACGGG
rnacentral:rRNA from 1 species